rnacentral:misc_RNA from 1 species
AAGCCCGCCCUAAUGAAUCGAAAGAUCUGAUACCAUGAUGAAAUAAAAGAGGUUUUGGAGAGAAUUUUCUCGUAUAUUUCUCAAUGUAAAAAGACUUUGUACAUUAUGCUAUUUAUGCACAAGAAUCCUAACCAUACAAGGAAACCUAAAUCAAUAGGAAACUAAUAAAAAUGAGGAACAAGAUAUACAAAAGAAGACAAAAUAAUAAGGGAAAAAAUAAUAAUCCUUAUAAUGUAGGUGAGAAUUAGAGAAAUAGAGAAGAAG